rnacentral:rRNA from 1 species
GAUGAACGCUAGCUACAGGCUUAACACAUGCAAGUCGAGGGGCAGCAUUUCAGUUUGCUUGCAAACUGGAGAUGGCGACCGGCGCACGGGUGAGUAACACGUAUCCAACCUGCCGAUAACUCGGGGAUAGCCUUUCGAAAGAAAGAUUAAUACCCGAUGGUAUAAUCAGACCGCAUGGUCUUGUUAUUAAAGAAUUUCGGUUAUCGAUGGGGGUGCGUUCCAUUAGGCAGUUGGUGAGGUAACGGCUCACCAAACCUUCGAUGGAUAGGGGUUCUGAGAGGAAGGUCCCCCACAUUGGAACUGAGACACGGUCCAAACUCCUACGGGAGGCAGCAGUGAGGAAUAUUGGUCAAUGGGCGCAGGCCUGAACCAGCCAAGUAGCGUGAAGGAUGACUGCCCUAUGGGUUGUAAACUUCUUUUAUAUGGGAAUAAAGUUUUCCACGUGUGGAAUUUUGUAUGUACCAUAUGAAUAAGGAUCGGCUAACUCCGUGCCAGCAGCCGCGGUAAUACGGAGGAUCCGAGCGUUAUCCGGAUUUAUUGGGUUUAAAGGGAGCGUAGGUGGACAGUUAAGUCAGUUGUGAAAGUUUGCGGCUCAACCGUAAAAUUGCAGUUGAUACUGGCUGUCUUGAGUACAGUAGAGGUGGGCGGAAUUCGUGGUGUAGCGGUGAAAUGCUUAGAUAUCACGAAGAACUCCGAUUGCGAAGGCAGCUCACUGGACUGCAACUGACACUGAUGCUCGAAAGUGUGGGUAUCAAACAGGAUUAGAUACCCUGGUAGUCCACACAGUAAACGAUGAAUACUCGCUGUUUGCGAUAUACAGUAAGCGGCCAAGCGAAAGCAUUAAGUAUUCCACCUGGGGAGUACGCCGGCAACGGUGAAACUCAAAGGAAUUGACGGGGGCCCGCACAAGCGGAGGAACAUGUGGUUUAAUUCGAUGAUACGCGAGGAACCUUACCCGGGCUUAAAUUGCAUUUGAAUAUAUUGGAAACAGUAUAGCCGUAAGGCAAAUGUGAAGGUGCUGCAUGGUUGUCGUCAGCUCGUGCCGUGAGGUGUCGGCUUAAGUGCCAUAACGAGCGCAACCCUUAUCUUUAGUUACUAACAGGUCAUGCUGAGGACUCUAGAGAGACUGCCGUCGUAAGAUGUGAGGAAGGUGGGGAUGACGUCAAAUCAGCACGGCCCUUACGUCCGGGGCUACACACGUGUUACAAUGGGGGGUACAGAAGGCAGCUACCUGGUGACAGGAUGCUAAUCCCAAAAGCCUCUCUCAGCUCGGAUCGAAGUCUGCAACCCGACUUCGUGAAGCUGGAUUCGCUAGUAAUCGCGCAUCAGCCAUGGCGCGGUGAAUACGUUCCCGGGCCU